ACGGAAGGCAGCAGUGGGGAAUAUUGCACAAUGGGGGAAACCCUGACGCAGCGACGCCGCGUGAGUGAAGAAGUAUUUCGGUAUGUAAAGCUCUAUCAGCAGGAAAGAUAAUGACGGUACCUGACUAAGAAGCCCCGGCUAACUACGUGCCAGCAGCCGCGGUAAUACGUAGGGGGCAAGCGUUAUCCGGAUUUACUGGGUGUAAAGGGAGCGUAGACGGUUUUGCAAGUCUGAAGUGAAAGCCCGGGGCUCAACCCCGGGACUGCUUUGGAAACUGUAGAACUAGAGUGCAGGAGAGGUAAGUGGAAUUCCUAGUGUAGCGGUGAAAUGCGUAGAUAUUAGGAGGAACACCGGUGGCGAAGGCGGCUUACUGGACUGUAACUGACGUUGAGGCUCGAAAGCGUGGGGAGCAAACAGGAUUAGAUACCCUGGUA
rnacentral:rRNA from 1 species